CGUGUAGGCGGUCCGGUAAGUCCGCUGUGAAAGUCGGGGGCUCAACCCUCGAAUGCCGGUGGAUACUGUCGGGCUAGAGUGCGGAAGGGGCGAGUGGAAUUCCUGGUGUAGCGGUGAAAUGCGCAGAUAUCAGGAGGAACACCAAUUGCGAAGGCAGCUCGCUGGGACGUUACUGACGCUGAGACGCGGAAGCGUGGGGAGCAAACA
rnacentral:rRNA from 1 species